AGGGGAUCGGAAUGUGGCUCAAGUUCGGGAGGCGUUACCUGCGGAGGGUUUGAGGCAGGUCCAGGAGCGAGCCCACGGUCCGCCGACGCGGGACCAGGGGCGGGCCCCAGGAUCCGGAGCUUCGGGCGGGGCCGAGUCCGGGUUUGGGGCCCGGAAGGCGGGGCCAGUUAGGGCGAGGGUCCCUGGGAUCGUCAGGUCAGGCCUUGGGCUAACGUAGGCACUCUCGCAGUUCCUCCGCCUUCAGGAAAGUCUUUUUAGCAGGGGCCUUACGGGUUCGCGCUUUGGUCCUGGAGGCCUUAUCCUAGCCUCCUCUGUAUCAGCGCCACCAGUCUGGGGCCCGAAAGGAGGGAGCUUUCCCUCUGUCCCCCAGCCUUUGGACUGUCACCAAACAAGCCAUUCGUUCACCAAAUACUUAUUAAGCGCCUACCAUGUGCCUGACAAGGGAGAUGUAACGCCCAGUAAAGUCGCCAUUCCCCAUUUUACAGCUGGGGAAACUGAGUUACAGAGCUUUUCUGCACUGAGUCAUCAGGAGCAAAUGCUAGAUCAGAUAGAGUCUCUCUCUCUGCCACCCAGGCCAGAGUGCAGUUGACGCAGGGCAGGGGAGCCCCGAAGUGGAGCAUAGUGUGUCCGGAACUGGUGGGUUCUUGGUCUCCCUGACUUCAAGAAUGAAGCCACGGACCCUCGGGAAAUGAGGCUUCUCCCCAGGACCAGCAUUCCACGAAGGCAGCCCUUUUCUAGAUGGAGAAAACAGAACCUGAAGACACCCGUUUCCCUAAACUGCUCUCGCUCAUGUUUCUACAAGGCCUGGAGCUGAUAGGAAAAACCUCCCUUCUUUCCCAAAUGGUCCCCAGCUGCCCCGUUCACUGAAGGCCCUGCAGUCAGGAACGGUCAGGACUUCACACCCAGUUGUUGUGGGUGUUUGGCCGACACGACACUUCCUCUUGUGUGAUUCAUGGACCCGCAGCAUUGCGUCACCUGGGAGCUUUUGGUAUUGAAGACUCUCAGGGCUCACCCGGAAGGACCUGCUGGGCCAGAAUCUACAUUUUAACAAGAUGCCCAGAAACUCCUGGAGGGCAGAGGCAUGCCUGCCAUCUUCAUCAUUGCAUUACCACCACCCAACACUAUCGGGGGACCUGCCCUGAUAAUCAGGUAGGUUCUUUUCUAUUUUCCUAAGCGUCGACUGGCUUGAGAAAUAAAAGGACAGAGUACAAAAGAGAGAAAUUUUAAAGUUGGGUAUCCGGGGGAGACAACACACAUUGGUAGGAUCCGUGAUGCCCCACAAGCCACAAAAACCAGCAAGUUUUCAUUAGGGAGUUUCAAAAGGGGAGAGAGUAUAUGAAUAGGAGUGGGUGACAGACAUCAAGUACUUAACAGGGUAAUAGAAUAUCACAAGGCAAGUGGAGACAGGGUGAGAUCACAGGACCACAGGAUGGAAGUGAAAUUAAAAUUGCUAAUAAAGUUUUGGCACCAUUGUCAUUGAUAACAUCUUAUGAGGAGACAGGGUUUUGAGAUCAACCCGUCUGACCAAAGUUUAUUAGGUGGGAAUUUUCUCUUCCUAAUAAGCCUGGGAGUGCUGUGGGAGACUGGAGUUUAUUUCACCUCUGCAAUCUCGACCAUAAGUGACAGGUAAGCCCCGGGGGGCCAGUUCAGAGACCUACCCCUAGGUGCGCAUUCUCUUUCUCAGGGACGUUCCAUGCUGAGAAAAGGAAUUCAGUGAUAUUUCUCCCAUUUGCUUUUGAAAGAAGAGAAAUAUGGUUCUGUUCUGCCUGGCUCACCAGCGGUCAGAGUUUAAGGUUAUCUCUCUAAUUCCCUGAACAAUUGCUGUUAUCCUGUUCUUUUUUCAGGGUGCCCACAUUUCAUAUUGCUCAAACACACAUGAUGUACAAUUUGUGUACUUAACGCAAUUAUUACAGGUCCUGAGACGAUAUACAUCCUUCUCGACUGACAGGAUUAAGAGAUUAAAGUAAUGACAGGCAUAGGAAAUCACAAGGGUAUUGAUUGGGGAAGUGAUAAGUGUCCAUGAAAUCUUCACAAUUUAUGUUUAGAGAUUGCAGUAAAGACAGGCAUAAGAAAUUACAAAAGUAUUAAUUUGGGGAACUAAUAAAUGUCCAUAAAAUCUUCAUAAUCCACGUUCUUCUGUCAUGGCUUCAGCCGGUCCCUCUGUUUGGGGUCCCGACUUCCCGCAACAUCUCUCCCUUUCUUUUUAUAUAAAUGUGCCAUGGCGAUGAAGGCUUGUUCAUUCUCUCGAUUUUGACACAGGAUUAUUUGACUGGUACGGCACACUAAAAGCAAGCCGAUGAAGCAGAGAAACAUAAUUCCAGAAUUUACUACAGUGGAGCCCCCAAUAGACUUAAUCCAAGUUCUGGGGUUUAAUCCAUAAAGAUUUUCUGCCACCU
rnacentral:lncRNA from 10 species